rnacentral:rRNA from 1 species
AACGAACGCUGGCGGCAUGCCUAACACAUGCAAGUCGAACGAGACCUUCGGGUCUAGUGGCGCACGGGUGCGUAACGCGUGGGAACCUGCCCUUAGGUUCGGAAUAACUCCCCGAAAGGGGUGCUAAUACCGGAUAAUGUCUGCGGACCAAAGAUUUAUCGCCUUUGGAUGGGCCCGCGUUGGAUGAGCGAGUUGGUAGGGUAAAAGCCUACCAAGGCGACGAUCCAGAGCUGGUCUGAGAGGAUGAUCAGCCACGAUGGGACUGAGACACGGACCAGACUCCUACGGGAGGCAGGAGUGGGGAAUAGUGGACGAUGGGCGAAAGCCUGAUCCAGCAGUGCCGCGUAAGUGAUGCAGGCCUUAGGGUUGUAAAGCUCUUUUACCCGGGAUGAUAAUGACAGUACCGGGAGAAUAAGCUCCGGCUAACUCCGUG